rnacentral:rRNA from 1 species
GACGGAGGAUGCAAGCGUUAUCCGGAAUGAUUGGGCGUAAAGCGUCCGCAGGUGGCAGUGCAAGUCUGCUGUCAAAGACCGGGGCUUAACUUCGGAAAGGCAGUGGAAACUGAACAGCUAGAGUAUGGUAGGGGCAGAGGGAAUUCCUGGUGUAGCGGUGAAAUGCGUAGAGAUCAGGAAGAACAUCGGUGGCGAAGGCGCUCUGCUGGACCAUAACUGACACUCAGGGACGAAAGCUAGGGGAGCGAAUGGG